rnacentral:rRNA from 1 species
GACGAACGCUGGCGGCGUGCUUAACACAUGCAAGUCGAGCGGAGCGGCGAACGGGUGAGUAACGCGUGAGUAACUGCCCCCCUCUCUGGGAUAACAGUUGGAAACGGCUGCUAAUACCGGAUAGUGGGGGAUGACUCGCGUCCUAUCAGCUUGUUGGUGGGGUAGUGGCCUACCAAGGGGACGACGGGUAGCCCGCCUGGGAGGGGGACCAGUCACAUUGGGCUGAGGUACGGCCCAAACUGCUACGGGAGGCAGCGGUGGGGAGUAUUGCACAAUGGGGGAAAGCCAGAUGCAGCAACGCGCGUGCGGGAUGACGGGCUUCGGGUUGUGAACCGCUUUCAGACAUGACGCGGUAGUGGCAGAGGAAGCACCGGCUAACUACGUGCCAGCAGCCGCGGUAAUAC